rnacentral:lncRNA from 1 species
AUGGGCUUAUGUAUUCUUCGUAGGUUGGUCUCAGAUUCACCCCAGUAUGUUCGUUCUGGUGCCCAUGCUGAAAGGAUGGCAGCUAUGGAGCAGAAACUCUUUACGUGGCAAACAAAAGAGGAACCCAGACAUGCUCUAUUUGCAAACCGACUGCAUGAAACGAAAAGCACGGUAAUUCUGAAGCUGUUGGCUUGGAUGAAAUGA